rnacentral:tRNA from 1 species
GGAUGCGGAGAGGUCGCCUAGAGGCCGAGGGCGACGGUUUGCUAAACCGUUAAGGGGGCAACUCCUUCGAGCAAACCGUCGCCCUCGGCCUCUAGGCGACCUCUCCGCAUCCA